GAAAAGGUAUUGAAAAGGAAGAGUAGUAUUCAUGAAUCUUUGACAGAGAGUGGGGGAAGGUGAAAGCCCAUAAAGAUAGUGAAUAUGAAAAUCACCUUUGAACUGCAAGCUGAAAUUGUAUAAUUACUAUUGUGCAAAAGUAAGCCGUGCCGGUGAAAUCCGUUAUAUUUUUGAGUAAAUAAAUUGGGUGGUACCGCGAGUAUACUUCGCCCCAUGG
rnacentral:ncRNA from 1 species